rnacentral:rRNA from 1 species
GGAAUAUUGGACAAUGGGCGCAAGCCUGAUCCAGCCAUGCCGCGUGUGUGAAGAAGGCCUUAGGGUUGUAAAGCACUUUCAGUGGGGAGAAAGGUGGUUUGGUUAAUAACCGGAUCAAUUGCUGUUACCCACAGAAGAACCACCGGCUAACUCCGUGCCAGCAGACGCGGUAAUACGGAGGGUGCAAGCGUUAAUCGGAAUUACUGGGCGUAAAGCGCACGUAGGCGGUUUGUGAAGCCAGCUGUGAAAUCCCCGGGCUCAACCUGGGAAUUGCAGUUGGAACUGGCAAGCUAGAGUAUGGUAGAGGGGUGUGGAAUUUCAGGUGUAGCGGUGAAAUGCGUAGAUAUCUGAAGGAACAUCAGUGGCGAAGGCGACACCCUGGAUCAAUACUGACGCUGAGGUGCGAAAGCGUGGGGAGCAAAC